UGAACUGUCCAUUCUUGUUGAUAAAAUUGGAAUGCUACAGAGAAGACUAGCAUGGCCCCUGAACAAGGAUGACACGCAAAUUUGUUAAACAUUCCAUAUUUUU